rnacentral:misc_RNA from 1 species
GAUGAAGAACGCAGCAAAAUGCGAUAAGUAAUGUGAAUUGCAGAAUUCAGUGAAUCAUCGAAUCUUUGAACGCACAUUGCGCCCCUUGGUAUUCCAUGGGGCAUGCCUGUUCGAGCGUCAUUUGUACCUUCAAGCUUUGCUUGGUGUUGGGUGUUUGUCCCUCGGGACUCGCCUUAAAGUCAUUGGCAGCCAGUGUUUUGGUUUUGAAGCGCAGCACAAGUCGCGAUUCAAGGCUAUCCGCCCGCUUCCACAAGCCUUUUUCACUUUUGACCUCGGAUCAGGUAGGGAUACCCGCUGAACUUAAGCAUAUCAAUAAGCGGAGGA